rnacentral:sRNA from 1 species
UCCAAGUGCUGGAAUUAAAGGUGCGCACCACCACCCAGCUGACUUCCUACUAUUUGUAACUGAUCAUAUCAUUUAAAUACCUGCAAUUCACCAUAAACUUAGCCAUAUAAAAUUUGUUUUUAAUAUAGUCACAGUUGCACAACCGUCGUUACAAUCCAAUUCCCUAGAAGUUACUAAGUAAUCCCUCAGCAGUAAUCUCUAGUCAAACGCACAGAUCCAUUUGCUCUUUUUAUAGCAUAGUCUAUCCUUGUCAUUACACACAGAGACUCAUGUAAUGCGGCUUUUAUGACUGGGUUUUCAGUCAGAAUAGUGUUCUUCAAUGCUCUUGCAUAGUACAGUAUGUAUUCCUUUCUUUCUGGUAGCAUUUGACUUGCUUCACAAUUGUGCUGAUAUGAACACAAGCUUUUGAGUGGUAAUCUUUUUAAAUCUCUUGACUACACACCUAGGAGCACUGUGUCUGGGUCAGACAUUAAGUGGAAGCUUCACAUUGUGAAGAAUUUUUAAACUGCUCUCCAAAAUGGCUGUGCUGACAGUUGCUGCUGUCUUGGUGGUGGCCGUCCUUAGUUCUGAAGUACCAGUUCUGAAAGCCCGACCUAUCUGUCGUGCCCUUUGUUUACCCAUUAAGUGAUCCCCACUCCAUUUUCAAAAUCCCAUCUCAGAAUUACGGUGUUGCCCUCCGACUUUCCUGAGAGUGUUUUCCUCUCAAGACUCUGCCCCUUUGUCUCUUACACUUCACUGUGAAUUGGGAGAACGGUUUACCAGUUUCUGUAAAAAUGCCGUCUACGUUUUGAUGGGGAUUAUGUGAAAUAUAUAGACAAAAUUAAGGACUUAUCAUUAUAACAUCAAAUCUUCAAAUCUGUCAAAAUGGCAUUAUUUUUCCCAUCAAAUAAGUUUUUAUGUUUGUUUUUAUUUUUUUGUUUUUGUCACGAGCCUAAACUUUAACAGCUGAGCCACCUCUCCAGCCCCUCACCCCCACCCCUUCUUUUUUCUUUUCGGAGACAGGAUCUGUGUUGCUUGGGCUGUUCUGGAACUCUCUGUAGAUCAGGCUAUCCUGGAAAUACUUCUAAGCGCCAAAAGCAGUAUGACUGCAGAAUUCAUGAAACAAUGUCCAAGCGAUCUAUACAAGUGAAAGCUAAACCAGGUAUGAGGGGGCUUCACAGCUACAAUCCCAGCACUGGGGAGGCUGAGUCAGGAGGACUGCUGGGAGUUCUAGCAGGGCAUCUUAGGUAACUGAGUGAGAUCCUGUCUUACUCAAACAGUAUUUGAAUAGAGUUAAUCUGCUCCCAGGGACAUGUUGAAGAGGCUCAUGACUAUAGUAGAGGGUUCUAAUAAGAGCCUCUGAGUUAAUUCAGUGACUGAGAUGAAUAGGUCAAUAAAAAGUGAGACAAUCAUAAUAACAACAACAAUAAAUAAUAUUCAAACCUUUCUAAGCAAAUGUUUUUGAAAGCCAAAUGUUUGUCUCAAUGAAGCUGAACUGAAAGAUGUAGAACCCCAGUCUUGACAUUGAUCUCAGGGUGUACUCAAAGGCUGAGCACCUCCUCAAUGGGAAGACCUGGUAGGCCAAGAUUCUAUUAAAGAUGGGUCUAAAACUAUGUCUGGCACACCCCCUUGAACAGUGUAAGACAGAGGCAGCAGGCCCGCUAGCAUGUGUGUCUUCACUCACGCCCACAGAAACCGCUAAGAAUUAAAUCCUACAAACGCGAAAGGACGUCUGCAAAUACUAAGAGCUUGUCCAUGACCACAUGCCACACGUUAGACUCUGGAAAGAGGCAUGACUGCACUCAGAUGACCUGAAAGGAUUUUAAUGAGGCAGCAUCACAAAAGGUAAUCAUCAAGAAAGCUGAAGGAUUCCGGUUUCUCAGUAACAGCUCUGUGGAACCAAACAGCAGUCUGAAGAGCAGAAUAGCCUGUUAAAUGUGUGUUUUGUGCAAGAGCGGGUGCCCAGUUUAAGAAAGACUUGGCUAUCUCACGGCCACGAGCCGGCUCACCUGCCCUUGUCAGCAUCUGGGUAAAACCCUCCUCAGUUUCAUCAUACACUCUUGAUGUUGACUUGGGUACAGAGAUCGUCUUUCAGGUGAGUCAUUCUCUUCUCAGUUAUCAUGACAUUGGAAACCUGGGCACGAUCCCCUGGUCACUGGAAAAGAAUCCCACCCAUUAUGAUCUAGUUGACAGGCUCCAUUAUGGUUUUGUUAAUGAGGUAGCAACCAUGACUCUCAUAGACUUUUAAGCCCCGAUAAAAUAAUUCCCAGAUUAUUCAUCUAGAAGAAAGGUGAGACUAUACAGUUUCGCUAAGCAGCCACCUCUCCUUCAGGCUUCGAAGCCCAGAAUGGUAGUAGUCACCUGGAGCUAACUGACGGUGUGAAUAAGCACACACAAAACACCAGCCCAAUUCGCAUACCUGCUAACACAUUCUCUGUGUAACCUCAACAGAUGUGCUAACUCUGAACAAAGUUGCAAAGAAAAUAUGCUCUAAAGGUUCUCAGUAUGUAAGCAUUUGGCCUUGAACCUGCAAUCCUCCUGUCUCAGCCAACUGAGUGGUGGGACUUUAGGCCUGCGUGCCCAUAUUCCUGGCACCCUUAGAAAAAUUUGACAUUUGUCUGCUUGGGUGAACACUGCCGUUUCUGUUUUCUCUUCAGAAUAUCCUCAUCUUCAAGUAGAAACCUGUGUAAACAGAAGGCCAGCUUUCUUCAUUGCUCUUCAGAAACGGGUCUUAUGCUGCUUGUAGCCGGGUGAAAACAUUUCCUUUGGUCCAAUUGUACCAUUCACAGUCCAAACCUAAGGAGACCAUUAAAGAGCCACAACUAAUGAAAAGGCAGAGAACUGACCGUGGGGGGCCCAGCCAAACUGAAGAAACACACUCCGGUACUCUGGGCUUAAGGAACAUCAUGUAAGAAUGGACAGAAACAUUAUAAGGCCCAGAGGACCAAGAAGUCUGCUGUGAGAAUGUGCCUUCCAGCUCUACCAGGGGAACUAGGCCCAGGAAAUCUCAACAGCAUGGCUGAGUAAACAAGACCCAGACAGUUUCAACAGUUGACAUCCCACUAUAGAUAGGAGAAAUGUCAUGAAGAACUACAAGUGAUUAACAUCUGUGGGGAGAGUGGAAAUUAUUCUUCCCUAGGGAUGAGUCACCUGAUUGGUCAGGCAUAAAAAUAUAUACAUAAAUGCAA